CGCCCAAUAGCUAGCCCACCCACCAACCCCAAACCCACCCUAUCUAUACCCCCAAACACACCACCACCCCAACAACAAACCAUUUUUCCACCUGAGUACGGGCGACGAAAAAGGACCUAGGAGCAACAGAGAAAGUACCGCAAGGGAAAGCUGAAAGAGUAAUGAAACAACCCAGUAAAGCACUAAAAAGCAGAGACCGCCCCUCGUACCUUUUGCAUCAUGAUUUAGCCAGAAAACCUUAAGCAAAAAGCAUUAUAGUUUAAUACCCCGAAACUAAGCGAGCUACUCCAAGGCAGUCUAAUUUAUAGGACCCCCCCCGUCUCUGUGGCAAAAGAGUGGGAAGAACGUUAAAUAGAGGUGAAAGACCUACCGAGCCUAGUUAUAGCUGGUUGCCUGAGAACUGAAUAGAAGUUCAGCCCUUUAAAUUCUUCAUCCCCAUUGGCCCAAGGCCUCCACACCGAACAAAAGAAAUUAAAGGAGUUAGUCAAAGGGGGUACAGCCCCUUUGAAACAAGAUACAACUUUCCAAGGAGGGAAAGGAUCACAGUAAACUUAAAGGUCUAAAUGUCCUAGUGGGCCUAAAAGCAGCCACCUAUUCAGAAAGCGUUAAAGCUCGAGCAUACAUAACCACCCUUCUAAUAAAGACAACACAAUCCCACCCCCCUAAACCUACCAGGCCGUUCCAUAAAAAUAUGGAAGCGUUUAUGCUAAUAUGAGUAAUAAGAGAGACCCCCCUCUCUCUCUCCCCGCACAAGUGUAACUCGGAACGAACCAUUCACCGACCAUUAACGGCCCCAAAACAAAGAGGGCACUAGACAAAAAACAAACAACUAGAAAACCACCUAGCCCCCCCACCGUUAACCCCACACUGGUGUGCCAACCGGGAAAGACUAAAAGAAAAAGAAGGAACUCGGCAAACACAAGCCUCGCCUGUUUACCAAAAACAUCGCCUCUUGUACCCCUAAACAUAAGAGGUCCCGCCUGCCCUGUGACUAUAA
rnacentral:rRNA from 1 species